rnacentral:rRNA from 1 species
AUUGAACGCUGGCGGCAUGCCUUACACAUGCAAGUCGAACGGCAGCGGGCCUUCGGGUGCCGGCGAGUGGCGAACGGGUGAGUAAUGCAUCGGAACGUGCCAUUGAGUGGGGGGAUAACGUAGCGAAAGUUACGCUAAUACCGCAUAUUCUGUGAGCAGGAAAGCAGGGGACCGCAAGGCCUUGCGCUCUUUGAGCGGCCGAUGUCAGAUUAGCUAGUUGGUGAGGUAAAGGCUUACCAAGGCGACGAUCUGUAGCGGGUCUGAGAGGAUGAUCCGCCACACUGGAACUGAGACACGGUCCAGACUCCUACGGGAGGCAGCAGUGGGGAAUUUUUGGACAAUGGGCGCAAGCCUGAUCCAGCCAUGCCGCGUGAGUGAAGAAGGCCUUCGGUUGUAAA